GUAGUCGUGGCCGAGUGGUUAAGGCGACAGACUAGAAAUUUGUUGGGAUAUUCCCGCGCAGGUUCAUAUCCUGCCGACUACG
rnacentral:tRNA from 1 species